AGAGCGAACGCUGGCGGCAGGCUUAACACAUGCAAGUCGAGCGGGCGUAGCAAUACGUCAGCGGCAGAUGGGUGAGUAACGCGUGGGAACAUACCUUUUGGUUCGGAACAACACAGGGAAACUUGUGCUAAUACCGGAUAAGCCCUUACGGGGAAAGAUUUAUCGCCGAAAGAUUGGCCCGCGUCUGAUUAGCUAGUUGGUGAGGUAACGGCUCACCAAGGCGACGAUCAGUAGCUGGUCUGAGAGGAUGAUCAGCCACAUUGGGACUGAGACACGGCCCAAACUCCUACGGGAGGCAGCAGUGGGGAAUAUUGGACAAUGGGCGCAAGCCUGAUCCAGCCAUGCCGCGUGAGUGAUGAAGGCCCUAGGGUUGUAAAGCUCUUUUGUGCGGGAAGAUAAUGACGGUACCGCAAGAAUAAGCCCCGGCUAACUUCGUGCCAGCAGCCGC
rnacentral:rRNA from 1 species